rnacentral:pre_miRNA from 1 species
GUAAUAUAAGAUACGGGUUCUUAGUUUUUAACUAAAAAAACUAAAAGACGUCUCUUAAAUAAGAGAUAUAAGAAACGUCUCUUAACUUUUUUAAUUAAAAGUUAAGAGACUGUAUCUUAUAUUAC